rfam:Gossypium raimondii chromosome 3, whole genome shotgun sequence.
AGUCCAUGAUGAGGACACCUUCUCAAAAAACCUUUAAAUCUCUCCCAUGUAUCAUAAAGUGUCUCAAUAUCAAACUGAACAAAAGAAGAGAUGUCGUUCCUCAACUU